UGGGGAUGGUGAGAGUUUGACUAAAAUAUUAUAAAAUAAGACCUUUGUGUAUAAAGUGUUGAUAUUUGAUAGGAGGUAUGAGAUAUUGGUUAUCUUCUUGUUCUUUGUGCCUUUCUUCUCUCGUUUCCUGGAAAACCUAAAAAAAAAACAAAACUCUUUCUCUUCUUCUCGAAAGGGCUUAUUCCUCAUUUUUAAGAGUGUUCGUUGGUUCUCAAUAUCAGAUUUAAGGUGGAGUACUUCUUCUCAAUUGGGUCAGCUGUCUAAUCAUUAUUAAUUAAUUAAAUUCGUCGGGAGAGAGGAUCAGUGGUGGUUGGUUUGGGUUGGGAUGACAACGAGAGAGAGCACGCUUGUGUUAAUAUUCAUGAAAAACGAAACGUGCGUGACUGUGCACAUGCGUGCUCUCUCCCGUUGUCAUACAAUACAUAUAUAUGGAUUAAUCACUGCUACCCAGGUAACACUAUAUAUGUAUAUAUAUAUAUUUAUAUGUGUUCAUGUAUAGAUGAUAUUUCGAUGACACUACUAACAAAACAUAAGAUUUUUACAUGGGUUAUAUAUGAGUUUUAUAAGUUGUCCAUCUAUAGAAGUAAUGGAAAAAAUUAGGAAUGUCUAGCUAGUAUAUACUUUGGCUUUCAAUCGAUAUAUCAACUCAAUCUUGAUUCAAUAGUUAUACACCAUGGUGUGAUUACCAUUUCGUGAUUCACUCCCAAAUAAUAUAUAUGACCAUGUUCAUAAGAUAAAAGGAAAAAAUUACUUAUAACAUGAAUUAAUAGGCAAAAGAAUAUGAAAAAGGAAAAAAAGGAAGAGUGGAUUAAUUAAUGGAAUUUGGUGUUUACAUCUUAAUUACUACUUAUGAUAUGUGAACAAUAUCAAAUAACAUGAUGUCAUUUGUUUAGAAAAUAAGUGUUAAGUUUUUUUUUUUUUUUUACUUAAGCCAAUUAUGUUUACAAAAGUUUUGAUUGUUAACCAUGAGAGUGCUUAAUAUUUUGAUCACUUAUAAAGCGUACUUGUUUUUGUGGCAACUUAUUAUAUAUUUUGAGAUGUUUUUCUAAAUUUUGGCUGUAUUAUAAUCUUGAACAUUAUUUCUGAAAUAUGUAUGAUGCAGAAUGCAGAUGUUUACAAUUUUAAGGAUACUAUAUGAUUAUAUCAUAUGAUGAUAAAAUUGUUGCUAACAAUUGUGUAGCGUGUUUUUAUUUGUAGAACUUGUCAUCCAAAUAAUUGAAUUUGUAGGUGAUAAUCACUUCAUCAGUGUGUAUAUAUAUAUAUAUUAUAUUGUUUACAGGCCACAUAUAUAUACUUCGGUCAGGUGAGGUAUUGAAUUUAAUUUAUUAAAGUGUUAAAGAUUUUAUGACUAUUUUUUUGAUUAAUUAUCACAUGUCAAUACACAAUAAUUCAAGCAAUUUAAAAUAAACUGAUCUUGUGUCUCAAUUAUAAGAUAAUUAAUAGUAAAUAAAGAAGAUAGAGAGAACUAUAUAAAUUUGUUUUAGGCAAUUAAUACAAUACAUAUACAGACUCAAUCCGGGAUACCAAACGAAUCCGUAUACAAUUGAAUAUGCUUAAUUAUAAUUGAUUUGGGGAGGGUUAUUUUGAUCUUAUAUAAUGUUAUUGAUUGGUAGCUUUUGUAAACACUAUGGGUAAGUUUGGUUAAAAGGAAUAAAAACAAAAGAAUUAGAAUGAGAAUAGAAUAUAGAUGAAAAAAAAAAUUGAUAAAAAGUUAUUAUUAUUUUUAUCUUGCAUUGGAUUGAUUUUUCUUUUCAUUCUGUCACCUUCAACCAAACAAACUCAAAUAAUGGUUGCAAGGAAUGAAAACAUAAAAGUAGAACUAGGAAUAGGAAUACAAUCAAAUUUAUUGAAAGGCAUAAAAGCAAUUGUUAAAAAAUAAUUAAAUUUUAUCUCAAUUUGCAUUGGAAUAUCUUUCCUUCCGAUUCAAAAUGGAGUAGUCAUUCGAUCAAAAUAGUUAAAAAGACAUUUCAAUACCAAAAUGCAACCAAACAAAAGAAUGGAAUAAAAAUUAAUUCUUUUCCAUUUCAUUACUUCCAACCAAACGGCACUAGAUUGAUCCUAAUUACAGUAGUUAAGUAAAUACACUUUUGUUUAAAAUAUUAUUGCCUCACCAAACAUUGUAUUAUGCCAUGCCAUGUUAUGUUAUGUUUUCGUUGUUAAACAUUAAUUAUUUUCCUUAGUUGAUUUGAUUCCACAAUUACUUAUAGAGCAGUGCUUUUCAUAGGUAGCGUCAUACGUUUGGUUAGACAUAUUUCCUAAAAGUUAUUUUUUUAAAUUUUAGGAGACUCGUUACUUAGUUACACCAAUAGCAGUAUGACACGAAGGAGGGUGCUAAGCACCAGUGAUACCUUUUAGCAAUUCUCUUACUUAUAUUAUAUAAAUUAAUAUAAAUAUAUAUGGAUCAACCCCAUUGCAUAAUAUAAUAAUGUAUUUCAUGCUUGAAGAAUAACAAUAUUGUAUAUCUCUAAAGGAAAGUACAUAUCCCAAGUGUCAAAUGUUAUUUUUGUCAGCUUAAUUGUUAUCCUAAUUAAGAUCCAUUUAAAAAUAACUUAACUCUAACAGUUAACAUUUUCAUUAUUGAGGGCUAGUUCCAUAACAUUUGAGGAAUUAAUUCUCCUCCAUUGUUUAAUUUGUGUGAAAUUUUAUGUAUUCAUCUGUAUGUUAAUAUUUUUGGUAACUAGCUAGGUAUGAAGUAUAAACUUUAGUCAUGAAUUAUCAUUUGAUCAGCAUAUAUAUAUGAUCCUCUUAUAGGCACUAUAUUUAGCCCAUUUCUAGGAAACAGUAGGGAUAAUUUUGAUAAUAGAAAUUCUUAACUUCUAUGAGUAAUAGAUGGAGUAAAACAAUUGUAACAUGUUGGUUUGUUUAUCAUAUAAUUAAUUGUUAUUCAAAGCUAUAGCUCCAUUGUGAUGUGAGAUCAUCAAAUAAAUAACUAAUUGAUUGUUUUUAAUAGUGACUUCUAUUGUUGUGUUUGGUGAGUAUAGGAUGUGUUGGUACUAGCUAGACGCUCAAUCACAAGCUAAAGUUGAUAUAUAUAAGAUAUAAGAAAAUUAUAAGAACCUGAAAAUCAAAAUUGAGACAAAAUAUUUAGAAAAUAUUGUAGAAGUAUGUGUCACUAUAGCAAAGUGACUUUUAACUUGAAAUUAAUAGGAGCAAGAGUAGAGAUUUACUUACAAUCUUGCAUGUUUAAGCACUAGUAUAUAUAGUUUCUUUGGUAAAACCAAAUUUUCUUCUUAUUUUUUAUUUAAAGAAUGUUAAAGUGACUUUAAGUGGGAAAAUAUGUGAUAGCUAGCAAAGCUUGUUUAAUUUACUUCUUCAAUGCUAUGGAAUAAAGUAAAAGUGUGGUUUUUCCUUAACACACUUAGUCUUUUCUCACCCUUUCUCUCUAUAAUGGGGAUCCUUUGCACUCAAUGGAAAAUAGUGAUCGUUUCUCAAUUAUCUAUAGACGCAAGACCAAGAGGCGGUAAAGCUUAGGCUAAUAAAACUAUGAACCGCCUAUAGUGAUGAGGCAGUGGUUCGUGCUAAAUUGCAAACUACACAACUUGUUACUUAAUUCAAUAGCUUUUGACUUAACCAAUAUCAUACUGAGGAAGUAAUAGUAGAUUUAUUGUCACAUUUCUCUCACUUAAAUUCUUUCUACUUGCCAUUUUCUAUGUUCAUGCUGCUAAUUAUGUUUCCAACUAGCUAGCUAGGCUGAUGAAGGAUCAACAAGAAGUAAAUAUAUAUUUAAUUUAGGUUGCCUUUAGUAUAUAUGGAAUUUAUUUACAUGUCCACACACCACCUUCCACCUUAAUACAAACAAAAUGAUAUUUGACUUGUAUGUACUUUGUCUUUUGAGUCAAAUCUUGGAUUAUUUUCCAUGUGGGUGCAAAUCACAAUAAAAGAGAAAUUUUCUCUUGUUUGCUACUAAAUUGAUUAUUAAUUAUCAUUGAAUUCACCUUAUUUAGAUAUCACAUUUUGAGCAAGAGAGUGAGAAAGAGUCAACAAAGAUAGGAAGUGUGAGAGAGUUUUAGAGAGAAAAUAUAUAGUGGGGUUUUCUCCUAAAAAUUUGUAGUAGUCUUUUGUUAGGGAGUGACUAUUUUCUCUUAAAAAUGUAUAUUGUCAUUUGUAUUGUAUUGUAAUACUUUUAUUGUACUUAGUGGAUUCUUAAUUAUUUUCAUUAUCUACUUUUAGUUGUAAUUGAGUGCUCCCCAUUACCCAUUAUUAAUUAGUUAGGUUGUUGGAUAAUUUUUUUUUUUUUCAAAACAUUCUCUAUUACUUGAAUAAUUAAGGGCAUGAGUGAGUUUUCAACAUUUUAGCUCUCUAAUAAUAAAAAGUUUUUUUAGAAGAAGUUAGUUUCAAUAUGUCUAAGGAAGAACUUCUUGAUAAAACUAAAAUUAUUAGGUGAUAAAAUUUAUCCAAUCCCAAUGCUCUAUAUAUUUUCUUCUUUCUAAAUAUGCCCCAUAUGUAUAAUCAAUAACUUGAUUCUUCAUAAUUUUAUUUACUGUAUAUUUGGUUCAGUUUAACCACACUUCCAAUUAUAUAUAUUUUCUUAAGGGAAUUAUUGCACAUAAUUGUUGAUUCUAAAUUUUUAUUUCUUAUUAGCACAUACUGAGUAGAUCAUUAUGGAGCUCAAUUGUUUAUAUUAAUUUUCCCAAUGCAUGCAUGUACUUGUUUAAGAUCUUGCUAUUAUAAAUGAUUUUCCAAUAGUAAAAUAUAAACUUAAUUAUGUUCUCUACUAAAUAUGAAUUCCCUAUAUAUGUUGCCAUGUAUAUGUACCUGUGCACAUGUUCUCUACUAAAUUUGAGAAUAUAUAUGGCUUGCAGGCUUUUGCAUAAUAAUGAUCCUAGGUUUUUUUUGUUAUUAUUAUUUUUUUUAGCUGUAUAUAUAAUGAUUGUGUUGAUAUAAGUUGGCUUCUCUUGUCUUUGUAUACAAAUUAGUUUUGGGUGUCAGUUGAUUUUUUGGUGAAAAGUUCGGUUGAAUUCAUUGUGUUGUUGUUUUCUUUUUCAGUAAUUAGUUAUAGAGAGCACUCAAAAUAAGUACUUAUCUAUGAUUAGCCAUCAUUUUUAUUUUACAUUUUUUUUCUUUUCAAAAGUGCACAUGCCAUAUUAAAUUUCAAGAGUAUUAUCAUUAUUACUCUAUUAAUAUUGUACGUACACUUUGGAGGAGAGUCUCAUUAAUUAACAUAAAAUAAUACUUGUUUGUAACUACAUAGGAAGCUUAUUGUUAUUGAUCACAAUAACCUUAUUUUUGUGUCUUUAUUCUUUGUCAUUCUUUUGUAAUUGUUAUAAUUACUUUAUAUGAUGAUAUAUAUGUCUUUAUUCAUGACAUUUGGCAUAUAUUAAUGUUAAUUCCAGCAAUGUUUAAAGCAUAUUACCCUUUAAAUAAGAUGGAUAAGGUAGUGAAUGCAUUAAAUUAAUGUAAGUUUGUUACCUAUGCUAAUAAGUGAAAUUUUUCCUAAAUGAUCAUAUAUCAUCAUGGUAUUACAUGAGUAUAUAUAUUAGCUAGUAUGCUUCUACAUGCCAUGGUUAAAAUUGUAUAUUAUAUCUAUAUGCCAAGCUAUAUAUAUGGUGAAAAUCAACCUUGUCAUGUUCUGAAAUUUAUAAUCUACUUACUGUUAAUGCUUGAGAUUUUUAAAAUGUCUAGUAUUUUGUCACAUUAAUUUUUGGGUGUGGAUAUUAUAUAUAACUAAUUAUUCUAUUGAUUAUUUUAUUUGUGUAUAGUGUAGUGGAUGUUAAUCUUAGCCUUUAUUAUGCUACACUUGCAUGUCUUCUUGUUCACUUUUUGUACUUUAUUUAUGACUAUGCUUAAUUCGUUUACGAUAAAAAGGAAAAAUAGUAUGAUUUGUAUCUUUUGAGACACAAAAUAUAUACAUGAUAUAUUCUUUUGUGA